rnacentral:tRNA from 1 species
GGAGAGGUGGCUCAGAGGUUAAGAGCACUGGCUGCUCUUCCAGAGGUCCUGAGUUCAAUUCCCAGCAUCCACG